AGUCGAGCGGACUUAAAAAGCUUGCUUUUUAAGUUAGCGGCGGACGGGUGAGUAACACGUGGGCAACCUGCCUGUAAGACUGGGAUAACUUCGGGAAACCGGAGCUAAUACCGGAUAAUCCUUUCCUACUCAUGUAGGAAAGCUGAAAGACGGUUUACGCUGUCACUUACAGAUGGGCCCGCGGCGCAUUAGCUAGUUGGUGAGGUAACGGCUCACCAAGGCGACGAUGCGUAGCCGACCUGAGAGGGUGAUCGGCCACACUGGGACUGAGACACGGCCCAGACUCCUACGGGAGGCAGCAGU
rnacentral:rRNA from 1 species